rnacentral:lncRNA from 1 species
UCUCUUUUGUCUUCUAGAGAGAGAGAGGGAGAGAAGAGAGUGUGAGAGGGGUGAAAAUGAGAGAAAAUCUCAUUUACCCCAUUACUAUACUCAAUGGGCUGCAAAAAUGCAAAUAAACCCCUCAACUUUCACUUUAAUACACUGCCCGAACUGGGCAUUCCGCGCAGGCAGAGACCGGUCUCCCCGAGCAGGGACCGGUUCCCGAACGUUGUCCCAGCGCAGCCAGAGCUGCUGCGCGCAGUGCAACCGGUCUCUCCUUAUGGGA